GCCCUGAUAGCCCAGUGGAUAAGGCGUCGGCCUCCUAAGCCGGAAGUCCCGGGUUCGACCCCCGGUCAGGGUU